GCGUUGGUGGCACAGUGGUUAGGAAUUUUCCGACCAUGCACAUGGUCCGGGGUUCGAAUCCCUGCCGACGCA
rnacentral:tRNA from 1 species